rnacentral:rRNA from 1 species
GGCGAGUGAAGCGGCAACAGCUCAAAUUUGAAAUCUGGCCCCCAGGGCCCGAGUUGUAAUUUGCAGAGGAUGCUUUUGGCGCGGUGCCUUCCGAGUUCCCUGGAACGGGACGCCAUAGAGGGUGAGAGCCCCGUCUGGUCGGACGCCUAGCCUGUGUAAAGCUCCUUCGACGAGUCGAGUAGUUUGGGAAUGCUGCUCUAAAUGGGAGGUAUAUGUCUUCUAAAGCUAAAUACCGGCCAGAGACCGAUAGCGCACAAGUAGAGUGAUCGAAAGAUGAAAAGCACUUUGAAAAGAGGGUUAAAUAGUACGUGAAAUUGUUGAAAGGGAAGCGCUUGUGACCAGACUUGGGCCCGGUGGAUCAUCCAGCGUUCUCGCUGGUGCACUCCGCCGGGUUCAGGCCAGCAUCAGUUCGCCGCGGGGGAAAAAGGCUUCGGGAACGUGGCUCCUACGGGAGUGUUAUAGCCCGUUGCAUAAUACCCUGGGGCGGACUGAGGUUCGCGCUCCGCAAGGAUGCUGGCGUAAUGGUCAUCAGCGACCCGUCUUGAAACACGGACCAAGGAGUCGUCUUCGUAUGCGAGUGUUCGGGUGUAAAACCCCUACGCGUAAUGAAAGUGAACGCAGGUGAGAGCUUCGGCGCAUCAUCGACCGAUCCUGAUGUUCUCGGAUGGAUUUGAGUAAGAGCAUACGGGGCCGGACCCGAAAGAAGGUGAACUAUGCCUGUAUAGGGUGAAGCCAGAGGAAACUCUGGUGGAGGCUCGCAGCGGUUCUGACGUGCAAAUCGAUCGUCAAAUAUGG